rnacentral:rRNA from 1 species
UACAGAGGGGGCAAGCGUUGUUCGGAAUUACUGGGCGUAAAGGGCGCGUAGGCGGCCCGCUAAGUCGAACGUGAAAUCCCUGGGCUCAACCCAGGAACUGCGUCCGAUACUGGUUGGCUUGAAUCCGGGAGAGGGAUGUGGAAUUCCAGGUGUAGCGGUGAAAUGCGUAGAUAUCUGGAGGAACACCGGUGGCGAAGGCGACAUCCUGGACCGGCAUUGACGCUGAGGCGCGAAAGCCAGGGGAGCAAACGGG